AUUGAACGCUGGCGGCAGGCCUAACACAUGCAAGUCGAACGAGUGGCGGACGGGUGAGUAAUGUCUGGGAAACUGCCCGAUGGAGGGGGCUAACUACUGGAAACGGUAGCUAAUACCGCAUACCAUCGGAUGUGCCCAGAUGGGAUUAGCUAGUAGGUGGGGUAAUGGCUCACCGAGGCGACGAUCCCUAGCUGGUCUGAGAGGCUGACCAGCCAGACUGGAACGGAUAAACGGCCGAGAUGCCUACGGGAGGCAGCAGUGGGGACUAUUGCACAAAGGGCGCAAGCCUGAUGCAGCCAUGCCGCGUGUAUGAAGAAGGCCUGCGGGGUGUAAAGUACUUUCAGCGGGGAGGCGUUACCCGCAGAAGAAGCACCGGCUAACUCCGUGCCAGCAGCCGCGGUAAUUC
rnacentral:rRNA from 1 species